UACGGGGGGGGUAAGCGUUGUUCGGAAUUACUGGGCGUAAAGGGCUCGUAGGCGGCCAACUAAGUCGGACGUGAAAUCCCUCAGCUUAACUGGGGAACUGCGUCCGAUACUGGAUGGCUUGGAUUUGGGAGAGGGAUGCGGAAUUCCAGGUGUAGCGGUGAAAUGCGUAGAUAUCGUGGAGAACACCCGUGGCGAAGGCGGGCUUCUGGCUAAUUACUGACGCUGAGGUGCGAAAGCUAGGGGAGCGAACGGG
rnacentral:rRNA from 1 species